rnacentral:rRNA from 1 species
UACGUAGGGUGCGAGCGUUAAUCGGAAUUACUGGGCGUAAAGCGUGCGCAGGCGGUUCGGUGUGUCUGCUGUGAAAUCCCCGGGCUCAACCUGGGAAUGGCAGUGGAAACUGGCGAGCUUGAGUGUGGCAGAGGGGGGUGGAAUUCCGCGUGUAGCAGUGAAAUGCGUAGAGAUGCGGAGGAACACCGAUGGCGAAGGCAACCCCCUGGGCUGACACUGACGCUCAGGCACGAAAGCGUGGGGAGCAAACAGG